rnacentral:rRNA from 1 species
GUCCACGCCCUAAACGAUGUCUACUAGUUGUUGGGUCUUAAUUGACUUAGUAACGCAGCUAACGCGUGAAGUAGACCGCCUGGGGAGUACGGUCGCAAGAUUAAAACUCAAAGGAAUUGACGGGGACCCGCACAAGCGGUGGAUGAUGUGGAUUAAUUCGAUGCAACGCGAAAACCUUACCUACCCUUGACAUGGAUGGAAUCCUGAAGAGAUUUAGGAGUGCUCGCAAGAGAACCAUCACACAGGUGCUGCAUGGCUGUCGU